rnacentral:rRNA from 1 species
CCUACGGGUGGCAGCAGUGGGGAAUAUUGCGCAAUGGGCGAAAGCCUGACGCAGCAACGCCGCGUGAGUGAUGAAGGCCUUCGGGUUGUAAAGCUCUUUCGGUUGGGAAGAAGGGUGUGCGGGCUAAUAUCCCGUACAUUUGAUGGUACCAAAAGAAGAAGCACCGGCUAACUUCGUGCCAGCAGCCGCGGUAAUACGAAGGGUGCAAGCGUUGUUCGGAAUGACUGGGCGUAAAGGGUUCGUAGGCGGGAAUGCAAGUCAAGUGUGAAAUCCCCGGGCUUAACCCGGGACGUGCACUUGAAACUGCGUUUCUUGAGUCGAGGAGAGGGUAAUGGAAUUGCUGGUGUAGGAGUGACAUCCGUAGAGAUCAGCAGGAACACCGGAGGCGAAGGCGAUUACCUGGCCGAAGACUGACGCUGAGGAACGAAAGCGUGGGGAGCAAACAGGAUUAGAUACCCCUGUAGUC